AUACGGAGGAUCCGAGCGUUAUCCGGAAUUACUGGGCGUAAAGGGUGCGUAGGUGGUUUCUUAAGUCAGAAGUGAAAGGCUACGGCUCAACCGUAGUAAGCUUUUGAAACUAAAAGACUUGAGUGCAGGAGAGGAGAGUAGAAUUCCUAGUGUAGCGGUGAAAUGCGUAGAUAUUAGGAGGAAUACCAGUUGCGAAGGCGGCUCUCUGGACUGUAACUGACACUGAGGCACGAAAGCGUGGGGAGCAAACAGGAUUAGAUACCCUGGUAGUCCACGCCGUAAACGAUGAGUACUAGCUGUCGGGGGUUACCCCCCUCGGUGGCGCAGCUAACGCAUUAAGUACUCCGCCUGGGAAGUACGCUCGCAAGAGUGAAACUCAAAUGAAUUGGCGGGG
rnacentral:rRNA from 1 species